UACUCAGAAUAGGGGGCAGUAACAAUUAUUUUAACCCAUAGUGUAGAAAAGGAGGCUUUUGUAUUACCUAAGUACAACAUGUCACUCGAUCUGGAUAAAAAGGAAGUGAGAGUAGAGUUAGGGAAGGAUGUCUCAAUAGAGUUCUAUGUAGAUCAAAUGGGGUCCCUAACCUCCUGGCAGUCUAGGACUCUGACUUCAUGGGGAAGAUAUCUGUGCAAAUCCCCAUGUAAAUCAUGGAAUCAGGUCAUAGCUCACACAGAAAGAGAGGGCUAUGUCAAUCCACACACCCAAUAUAGAAACAGAUGGAUCAUAGUAAAGGUCAGGGUUUUUGACUGCAAUCCAGAGCAAGUGAAGUAUUGCAUAAAGGUACGAAUAGCCAUUAGAAGCGUAAAGAAAGAGGAUUUAGGGUUAUGGUUUGUGGGAUUUGACCAGACUUCAGUUGACACUCGGGUAUCAUUCAGAGUAGGAAAGCUUGAGGUGGGAGAUGGUUCCGUGACUAGCCAGAAUACAAGCACAACCCCUGAGGACAUGGAUGUCCCCCAUGGUGCUGUCCAGAGUCAAGGACCGGUAAGAAUAAUUCAGACAAAAGAUCUUAAGGAAGUGAUUGAGGUGGAGACUUGGUUUGGGGAUUCCAACCUUGGGCUGGAAUGGAUUCAGUGUACAGCUAGAUCAGUAGCUAGAGAAGAAUGUUAUGCCUGCGCAACAGCCAAACCUCAGUUGACAACCAUCCCCUUUCCACUCAAUGGAAAUAAAUAGAUGUGUUAUAGUGUAUGUGAAAUAUUUAGCCAAUAGGGUGGAUUGUAAUGGAAAUUAUAUGAUUAAAGGUUUAACUAAAUGAUAUCACCCUGAAAAUGUAUAACCAAGUGAUUAUAAGAUGAAUGUACUAAUGUGUGUGUAGGAAAAGUUUAAGCUUAAUGAUUUAGCAAUGUAAGUAAGACAUUCAAGGAAAAGGGGAACUGUUAACAGACAGCAGACAACUUGUGACCACUGUGAAACUGAUAACAGGAAAGAGGUCUCCCCACCCAGGGAGGGGAGAAACCAUUGGGCUUGCAGUAGAUUAUGUAACAUGGGGCAGGAUAUAAUAAGCAAUGUAUGUGAUGGAGAAGACUUGUAAAUAAGCAUUGACAGUGUUAAAGAAGAGGAGGGGCAUUUGUAAGGAGUAUGACAUAUGUUAUGACCAAAUGUUAGGUAUAAAAGUCUGUGUACAUUGUAUGAUAUUCAGAGCUCUCUGAAUAAAGAACUAACCUUUUGCAGAUUCCAGACAGGCCACUUCCUGCAUGGAGGUUUUAGCCUGCCAUAUGAGUUCUGUUAUACUCACAGACACCAGUCAAACAGUUUUAGAAACUUCCGAGUGUUUUCUAUCGAAAUCUACUAAUAAUAUGCAUAUUCUCGUUUCUGGGAAAGAGUAGUAACCAGUUUAAAUCGGUUACGUUUUUUAUCCGGCCGUGAAAAUACUGCCCCCUAGCCCAGACAGGUUCAGGGAUAUUAUACUUUAGUAAUCCACAAUGACCUGGUGAUGUAAAAGUCUAAUAAUGACAUGAUCUUCCAUAUUUCUACAGAUACCUUGUAACUGGAGAUUCCUUCAAAACAAUUGCCUACAGUUACCGUGUCGGGCACUGCAAGGUUGGGUGACCAGGGUCAUCUGGGACUGCCUACUGGAGGAAUUCAGGUGUGUGAAGGCUACCUGUGUCCUGCAUAACUUCAUGAGGAUGGAGACGAGGACCAGGAGGGGAUUUGCAGCUCGCCGCCGUGUGCCAGAGGAGAAGUCUGCUGCUCUGCAGGAUGUUUCAAGGAUGGGGGCCAACAACGCAGCAAGAGAGGCAAUCCGUGUGCAGGAGAUCUUCACCUCCUACUUCUACGAAGAGGGUGCUGUUCCCUGACAACACCAUAGACUACACUAUGCAUAACAAAAGGCUCUUUUAAGAGCCAUCCACAUUGCAAUAAGAGUAUUCUUCCAUUUACUUAUGUCAUCUGCAGUUAUUCAAAUCCCAGUUUUUCUCCCUUUUAUUCCUACUUCUCAGAUGAGGGUGCUAUUUAGGUAAGGGUGUGAUGUCUGUAAAAAACAAAACGGGCUAUUUUAAGUCACCCAUAUUAGAAAAAUGUAAACAAUUAGACACCCUAUAACCCACACCUACACACUCAUGUAUCAAUCUGAUUGAUGGAUUGCGUUGUGCAGUAAGGAGGCUCAGUUGUAUAACUGUGGCUCCUUCCACCUUCAAAGAAUAGGCAAGAGGGCCAACCAUGGAGAAUUCUAAGACACUUCAUUAUUUCUAUAACUACACUGUAUUGUUUGUCCUCGUCUGUCUGUACAUGUUUUUCAGCAGAGUACUCUGCAGCCACUUAGUGUAGACAUCAGGUUAUAUCAGCUGUGUCGGUGAACACCGCCCGCAUCUGAACUGGCUACGUAGAGGACACAGCAUGAUCAGAGAUAUGUUUUCAUGUGAGAGGAUGCCAACCCCCAGUCCCAUCAGCCACCUCACCCACUUUUAAGAUAACCUUCAGGCCAACUAGAGACACUUAUGUAAUUGUGAUGAACUGAGUGAAUAUUUGGGUAGCACUGUGAUUCAUUAAUCAUAUGCUGUCUUCCCUACUCCUAUGUUCUUACCUCUUUCCCUUUCUGUCUUUUACACGUCUCUACCCACCUCCUUUCUUCCUCUUUUUUUUAUAAUGCACACCAUAUGUGCAUUGAAGUACAGAUUGAACUUGUAUUUAUAAUAUUUAUUGAAGCAGUUUUAGAUUAUUUACAUGAUGCAUAGGAAGUGUAGUGUACUGUUUUAAAAAUAUAUAUAUUUCUGUAAAUAUGAAUUACAGAUCAGCCUUUUACUAGUUAAAUCCUUUUUCUAGUCUAUUAGUUACAAUGUGUAACCAUUGAUGUCCCAGGACCAAGAUUGGUAAACACUGUUGAAGUGUUAAAUUGUAAAACAUACAUGCAGACACAGCAUCAUUCAAAGACUGGAAUUUGA